rnacentral:rRNA from 1 species
AGAGUUUGAUCCUGGCUCAGGAUGAACGCUAGCGGCAGGCUUAAUACAUGCAAGUCGAACGGUAACAGGUGUAGCAAUACAUGCUGACGAGUGGCAGACGGGUGAGGAACACGUACACAACCUCCCUCUUACUGGGGCACAACUCCGAGAAAUCGGGGCUAAUUCCCCAUAACAUCUUGGUGUGGCAUCACACAAAGAUUAAAACUCCGGUGGUAAGAGAUGGGUGUGCGUCUGAUUAGCUAGUUGGUAGGGUAACGGCCUACCAAGGCGACGAUCAGUAACUGGUGUGAGAGCACGACCAGUCACACGGGCACUGAGAUACGGGCCCGACUCCUACGGGAGGCAGCAGUAAGGAAUAUUGGUCAAUGGGCGAAAGCCUGAACCAGCCAUGCCGCGUGCAGGAUGAAGGCCCUCUGGGUUGUAAACUGCUUUUAUCUGGGAAGAAACACCCCGUUUCUACGGGGCUUGACGGUACCAGAGGAAUAAGCACCGGCUAACUCCGUGCCAGCAGCCGCGGUAAUACGGAGGGUGCAAGCGUUAUCCGGAUUUACUGGGUUUAAAGGGUGCGUAGGCGGGCCUUUAAGUCAGUGGUGAAAUCUCCCGGCUUAACCGGGAAACUGCCAUUGAUACUAUUGGUCUUGAAUUCAGUUGAGGUGGGCGGAAUGUGUCGUGUAGCGGUGAAAUGCUUAGAUAUGACACAGAACACCAAUUGCGAAGGCAGCUCGCUAAACUGACAUUGACGCUGAGGCACGAAAGCGUGGGGAUCAAACAGGAUUAGAUACCCCGGUAGU